CCGAUGGCGACCGGCGCACGGGUGAGUAACACGUAUCCAACCUGCCGAUAACUCGGGGAUAGCUUUCGAAGAAAGAUUAAUAUCCGAUAGGAUAUCAAGGUCGCAUGAUCUUGAUAUUAAAGAAUUUCGGUUAUCGAUGGGGAUGCGUUCCAUUAGUUAGUUGGCGGGGUAACGGCCCACCAAGACGACGAUGGAUAGGGGUUCUGAGAGGAAGGUCCCCCACAUUGGAACUGAGACACGGUCCAAACUCCUACGGGAGGCAGCAG
rnacentral:rRNA from 1 species